rnacentral:lncRNA from 1 species
ACUGGUUGGAUCUCCUCAAGAGUCUUCCCCAACACCACAGUUCAAAAGCACCAGUUCUUCUGUGCUCAGCAUAUUAACUGUAUUUUCUUAUUUUCUGGCAUCUGGGGCUCACAGGAAGGCUGCCCCAUGGAUGAGGAGGUAUUGGAGUCUCCACCUCUUUGUGGACAAGGGUUCAAAGUCACAACUUAAUGACAGACACACUGAAUACGUCUGGAGAAUGUGAUUCAAUCCAACUCUUCUUCACGGAGGACCUACUGGUGUGUGCCACGCAGAGUGAUGGGGAGUGGUGAGCCGUGGGGCUCUGAGAAGGCAAAUUGCGAAUGCCAUCAUAGGCCAUGCCAAGGAUUCUGUUUACUGCAACCUUGGGGCACAGGUGAGUCAGGAAGAGUUUUAAAAAGGAGAAUGACAAGACUAGAUUUAUGUUUUAAGAGUUGACUCAAUGAGGUUAGCUUAGAUGAAAUCAAUAUUAUACGUUUGCUACCCCUGGACAACUGGACACACGCGUUAUACAUUUAGGAGGUGAAUUGGACAGGACUUGGGAAGAACUGCGCAUGGUGGACUGAGCUCUGGCUUGGGUGUUGGCAGACAUUAGUGUCCUUCACUGAGAUGAGAUAUGUGGGUGGAGCAUGUUCUGUCCUUCUUGGGACCUUAGUUUCUUCUAUAGUUCUUUCCAGAUUUCAUCAACUAGAAUCCUACUUGCCAGAAACUUCUCUGCAAGAAGAUGAAGAGAGGGAGAAGCAAUGUUUACCCCGGUGGGCUCUGAAGUCCGCUGCUGCUAUUUUGCCAGACCAGCAGGCAGAGAAGGACUGAGUUCACAUGGAUUUUGGUCAGAGCUGGGCAGAAACCACCCCUGAUGCCCACCUGGUGUGCCCCUCAGGAGGAGCAUUUUGAUAUGUAGCCCAUGCUCUGCUGCUUCUCAGUCUCCUUAGAAACGUUCGGCAGGAAGAUGGAUACCACGUGCAGGAAGUAUUUAGGUCAAACUCCUAUUGAGAGAAAUUGAGUGAAGAAAGGGCCAGAGGCUAAAGCCACUCUUUUCUUGUAAAUCAGAUCACAAGGGAAUUCCACACAUGCCGGAUGGUCUUAGUCUACUUGGGCUGUAAUAACAGAAAUACCAUAGACUGGCUUUAACAACAGUUCAGGAGGCUGAAAGUCCAAGAUCAAGGUACUGGCGGGCUCCGUGUCUGGUGAGGAGCUGCUUGCUGGUUCACAGGCAGUCAUCUUCCUGCUGUGUCCUCACAGGGCAGAAGGGGUGAAGGAACUCUCUGGUGUCUCUUUAAUAAGGGCGUUAACUCCAGUUAUGAGGGCUCCACCCUUAUGUCCUAAUCACUCCCUCAAAGGCCCCACUUCCAAAGACCAUCAUGUCGGGCAUCAGGAUUCAACAUAUGAAUUUGGGGGGAGCACAAGAGCACAGAUCUUAGAAGGUCUCUGGCUCUGGGCUCCCGCCCCCAACCCCUCGCUGCCAUCAACCCCUGGAUAGCAGAAGAGCUGCAAUGGAGCCCAGUGCCAAGACACCACUGUCUCCAGUAUAACACUGGGGAUGGUGCAAAGAAUGGGCCACCAUGGGCAUCUCCAUGAUAUCUAGUCCCUGGUUUGAGCUCAAAGGGGGAGUGUGGGGAAGAUGAACACUCACUCUGCUUUGUCCAUUGCUCACACAACCACAGUUGCUACUCCUGGAGCAAUUUUCUACUCGUGUAAAGCAUCAGCCCUCCUCUUAAGGUUUCCUAUAAAAAAAUGUAGG